ACAGUCUGAGAUACAUGAAGCAAAAAGCAAAAUCAAGAAACUCAUGUAAUUCCUUGAGUUAAGGGUCUCAAAUGUUCUGAAGGGGUUGCUAUUUUUUGCAAGGUCAAGUCUGGGUCAAGUCUGGCUUCCUGAAACUAUAGCCUGGUGUUCCAUCCUAUAGAAAGGGGGAAAGAGAAAAUGGAUGUCAAGCAUAUGUUUCCAAAAAUCAUCUAGGAUUCCCAGGCAAGAUGGCUGAAUAGGAACAGCUCCAGUCUGCAGCUCCCCACGAGACCAACGGACAAGGUGUUUAGAACAAGAAGAAUUAUAUGUGUUCCUGGUAUCAACAUUUUCCCCAUUACCUCUUGAUGCAUUGACUACAAGUUCACCCAAAGAUCCUAGGCCUUGACUUGAUGCUUUGACUUGAUGGAACUUGGGGUGGCCUUCCUUGAGAAAGUGGCAGAGAAGAGACUGGGAAAUGGAUGAAGGUGAAACCCUGUCAGAACAAAAGAGAUGAUCCUGCCAAUUGACAUAAACCAAAACAAAUGCUAAAUCCAUGUGGCUCUUCAGCCCCAUCUUACACAUGCCUCCUGAAUCAAGAGAAAG
ensembl:lncRNA novel transcript